rnacentral:rRNA from 1 species
UACGUAGGGGGCUAGCGUUGUCCGGAAUUAUUGGGCGUAAAGCGCGCGCAGGCGGUCCUUUAAGUCUGAUGUGAAAGCCCACGGCUCAACCGUGGAGGGUCAUUGGAAACUGGGGGACUUGAGUACAGAAGAGGAAAGUGGAAUUCCACGUGUAGCGGUGAAAUGCGUAGAGAUGUGGAGGAACACCAGUGGCGAAGGCGACUUUCUGGUCUGUAACUGACGCUGAGGCGCGAAAGCGUGGGGAGCAAACAGG